AACCUGCGGAGGGAUCAUUACACAAAUAUGAAGGCGGGCUGGAACCUCUCGGGGUUACAGCCUUGCUGAAUUAUUCACCCUUGUCUUUUGCGUACUUCUUGUUUCCUUGGUGGGUUCGCCCACCACUAGGACAAACAUAAACCUUUUGUAAUUGCAAUCAGCGUCAGUAACAAAUUAAUAAUUACAACUUUCAACAACGGAUCUCUUGGUUCUGGCAUCGAUGAAGAACGCAGCGAAAUGCGAUAAGUAGUGUGAAUUGCAGAAUUCAGUGAAUCAUCGAAUCUUUGAACGCACAUUGCGCCCUUUGGUAUUCCAAAGGGCAUGCCUGUUCGAGCGUCAUUUGUACCCUCAAGCUUUGCUUGGUGUUGGGCGUCUUGUCUCUAGCUUUGCUGGAGACUCGCCUUAAAGUAAUUGGCAGCCGGCCUACUGGUUUCGGAGCGCAGCACAAGUCGCACUCUCUAUCAGCAAAGGUCUAGCAUCCAUUAAGCCUUUUUUUCAACUUUUGACCUCGGAUCAGGUAGGGAUACCCGCUGAACUUAAGCAUAUCAAUAAGCGGAGGAA
rnacentral:rRNA from 1 species